GACGAACGCUGGCGGCGUGGAUUAGGCAUGCAAGUCGGACGGUAGGGCUUUAUCGUAAGAUAGAGUUUGAGAGUGGCGAACGGGUGAGUAACACGUAGGAAUCUACCCUUAAGACGGGGACAACCCAGGGAAACUUGGGCUAAUACCGGAUGAGAGUGCGAGAGAUUGCAUUUAAAAGGAUGGCGAAAGUUGUCGCUUAGGGAUGAGCCUGCGGUCUAUUAGUUAGUUGGUGAGGUAAGAGCUCACCAAGGCGAUGAUAGAUAGGCGGCCUUAACGGGUGGUCGCCCACACUGGGAUUGAGAUACGGCCCAGACUCCUACGGGAGGCAGCAGUGGGGAAUCUUCCGCAAUGGGCGCAAGCCUGACGGAGCAACGCCGCGUGGGUGAAGAAGGCCUUCGGGUUGUAAAGCCCUGUCUUAUGGGAAGAAGUCAGCGACGGUACCAUAGGAGGAAGCCACGGCUAACUACGUG
rnacentral:rRNA from 1 species